AGUGAUCGCUGGCGGUAGGCCUAACACAUGCAAGUCGAACGGCAGCACAGUAAGAGCCUGCUCUUACGGGUGGCGAGUGGCGGACGGGUGAGGAAUACAUCGGAAUCUACUUUUUCGUGGGGGAUAACGUAGGGAAACUUACGCUAAUACCGCAUACGACCUACGGGUGAAAGCAGGGGAUCUUCGGACCUUGCGCGAUUGAAUGAGCCGAUGUCGGAUUAGCUAGUUGGCGGGGUAAAGGCCCACCAAGGCGACGAUCCGUAGCUGGUCUGAGAGGAUGAUCAGCCACACUGGAACUGAGACACGGUCCAGACUCCUACGGGAGGCAGCAGUGGGGAAUAUUGGACAAUGGGCGCAAGCCUGAUCCAGCCAUACCGCGUGGGUGAAGAAGGCCUUCGGGUUGUAAAGCCCUUUUGUUGGGAAAGAAAAGCAGCAGGUUAAUACCCCGCUGUUCUGACGGUACCCAAAGAAUAAGCACCGGCUAACUUCGUG
rnacentral:rRNA from 1 species